rnacentral:rRNA from 1 species
UUCGGCAAUGGACGAAAGUCUGACCGAGCAACGCCGCGUGAGUGAAGAAGGUUUUCGGAUCGUAAAGCUCUGUUGUAAGUCAAGAACGUGUGUGAGAGUGGAAAGUUCACACAGUGACGGUAGCUUACCAGAAAGGGACGGCUAACUACGUGCCAGCAGCCGCGGUAAUACGUAGGUCCCGAGCGUUGUCCGGAUUUAUUGGGCGUAAAGGGAGCGCAGGCGGUCAGGAAAGUCUGGAGUAAAAGGCUAUGGCUCAACCAUAGUGUGCUCUGGAAACUGUCUGACUUGAGUGCAGAAGGGGAGAGUGGAAUUCCAUGUGUAGCGGUGAAAUGCGUAGAUAUAUGGAGGAACACCAGUGGCGAAAGCGGCUCUCUGGUCUGUCACUGACGCUGAGGCUCGAAAGCGUGGGUAGCGAACAGGAUUAGAUACCCUGGUAGUCCACGCCGUAAACGAUGAGUGCUAGGUGUUAGGCCCUUUCCGGGGCUUAGUGCCGGAGCUAACGCAAUAAGCACUCCGCCUGGGGAGUACGACCGCAAGGUUGAAACUCAAAGGAAUUGACGGGGGCCCGCACAAGCGGUGGAGCAUGUGGUUUAAUUCGAAGCAACGCGAAGAACC